rnacentral:rRNA from 1 species
GAUGAACGCUGGCGGCGUGCCUAAUACAUGUAAGUCGAACGGAGAGCUAGCAAUAGUUCUUAGUGGCGAACGGGUGAGUAACGCGUUGGUGACCUGCCCCGAAGCGAGGGAUAACAGUUCGAAAGGACUGCUAAUACCCCAUGAGAUCGUAGAGAUUAGAAGCUUUACGAUGAAAGGAGCAAUCCACUUUGGGAGGGGCCUGCGUCCCAUCAGCUAGUUGGUAGGGUAAAAGCCUACCAAGGCGACGACGGGUAGGGGACCUGAGAGGGUGAACCCCCACACUGGCACUGAAACACGGGCCAGACACCUACGGGUGGCAG